AUUGAACGCUGGCGGCAGGCCUAACACAUGCAAGUCGAACGAGUGGCGGACGGGUGAGUAAUGUCUUGGAAACUGCCUGAUGGAUGGGGAUAACUACUGGAAAAUGUAGCUAAUACCGCAUACCAUCGGAUGUGCCCAGAUGGGAUUAGCUAGUAGGUGGGGUAAAGGCUCACCUAGGCGACGAUCCCUAGCUGGUCUGAGAGGCGGACCAGCAACACUGUAACUGAGACACGGUCCAGACUCCUACGGGCGGCAGCAGUGGGGAAUAUUGCACAAUGGGCGCAAGCCUGAUGCAGCCAUGCAGCGUGUAUGAAGAAGGCAUUCGGGUUGUAAAGUACGUUCAGCGGUGAGGCGUUACCCGCAGAAGAAGCACCGGCUAACUCCGUGCCAGCAGCCGCGGUAAUAC
rnacentral:rRNA from 1 species